UACGGAGGAUGCAAGCGUUAUCCGGAAUGAUUGGGCGUAAAGCGUACGUAGGCGGCUUUGUAAGUCAGAGGUGAAAGCCUGGAGCUCAACUCCAGAACUGCCUUUGAGACUGCUUCGCUUGAAGAUGGGAGAGGUUAGUGGAAUUCCGAGUGUAGAGGUGAAAUUCGUAGAUAUUCGGAAGAACACCAGUGGCGAAGGCGACUGACUGGACAGGUACUGACGCUGAGGUGCGAAAGCGUGGGGAGCAAACAGG
rnacentral:rRNA from 1 species